rnacentral:rRNA from 1 species
GAUCCUGGCUCAGGAUUAACGCUGGCGGCGUGCCUAACACAUGCAAGUCGAGCGGCAGCGAGUUUUACACUGAAUUCUGGAAGCUUCUGGUUUGAAGAGAAGAUUUAUUCAAGAAUUUUGUGUAAAAUGUCGGCGAGCGGCGGACGGCUGAGUAACGCGUGGGAACGUACCCCAAAGUGAGGGAUAACGCAUCGAAAGGUGUGCUAAUACCGCAUAUGGUCUUCGGAUUAAAGCCUUCGGGCGCUUUGGG